CUGAAGUACCUGAAAAGGACGAAGGACAUGUUUCUCGUUUAUGGAAGAGACGAAGAGCUCGUCGUAAAGGGUUACGUCGACGCUAGCUUCGACUCAGAUUUGGAUGACUCUAAGUCACAAACCAGAUACGUGUAUAUGUUGAAUGGUGGAGCAGUAAGCUGGUGCAGCUGCAAGCAGAGCAUCGUGGCGGGAUCUACGUGUGAAGCGGAGUACAUGGCAGCCUCGGAGGCAGCGCAUGAAGCGAUUUGGGUGAAGGAGUUCAUCACCGACCUAGGAGUCAUACCCAAUGCGUCGGGGCCGAUCAAACUCUUCUGUGACAACACUGGAGCUAUUGCCCUCGCCAAGGAGCCCAGGUUUCACAAGAAGACCAGGCACAUCAAGCGUCGUUUCAACUCCAUCCGUGAAAAUGUUCAAGAUGGAGACAUAGAGAUU
rnacentral:rRNA from 1 species